rnacentral:lncRNA from 1 species
ACCGGAUACAGGGGUUGUCCCUCAUCAUAAAGAAGGUGGCAGGGGAUGAUUAAUAUUGUGAUACAAGAAUACUUCUGUUAAAGGAAACUGAGCCCUCUGCUGCAUCUGUUUCCAAAGCAAAGCCUCUUAAGGUUUGUCCACCACCCAGAGGUGCAACCCAGCUGAUGGACUACGAAUUCUCCGGGCACCUACCAAAAUUGUUC